UACAGAGGUCUCAAGCGUUGCUCGGAUUCAUUGGGCGUAAAGGGUGUGUAGGUGGCGCCGUAAGUCGGGUGUGAAAUUUCGGAGCUUAACUCCGAAACUGCAUUCGAUACUGCGGUGCUUGAGGACUGGAGAGGAGACUGGAAUUCAUGGUGUAGCAGUGAAAUGCGUAGAGAUCAUGAGGAAGACCAGUGGCGAAGGCGGGUCUCUGGACAGUUCCUGACACUGAGACACGAAGGCCAGGGGAGCAAACGGGG
rnacentral:rRNA from 1 species